ACUGCGACAUUCCGUUUAAAAUUUUUUCCGCCAACUUUUUAACUGUACGUCACCGAAUUGCUAAAAGAAGAAAAGCUGAGAUUUUUUUCUUAGGAGCGAAAUAAGGGGUUAUCGUGUAAAUCAUUAACAAAUUCCUUUACUGACAAAUCGUUCAUAUUGAGUGCAAAGUUAAGGAGAAUGUUGCUUUUGAGAUGAGAACUAUCUUAGAUCACAGAUAGAAAAUUAUUGUCGCUUUACUUAUAUUCUCGUAACUUUUACUUUUCUUUCGGAAUUUGACAAGGAGCUUUGCAAAAAGUGUGCAACUAGAUUGUUCUGUGAAAUGAACCAACAGAGUAAGCACUUGGACACUUGCUAAGGCACUCAACCAAUAUUAACAGGAAGAGGCAAAACGACACUUCGAUACUCCAUACUUACAAGACAAAAGAGAGUGACUUAGAUGGUGACUGCAGAAACCUUCAAGUGAACUGAAACCCGUAUUACCUGAGAAAAGUCUCAGAUUAAAGAAAAAUAUUAUUCAUUUUGUCAUAAACGAGGGAUCGAACCCUCAGAUUUCGCUGUACGAGGUAGGGAAAAUAAGGAAUAACAUCUUUCCUAUUCUUUAGUGUUUGAUUAUUUAUGACUACAGAUUUUAAAAUGGCGGAGAGUGUAGAAUAUAUUUUUAACUACACGAAUUUCAGUACUGUUUUAGCAGUUUUAAAGCUGUAUUUCAGUACUUAAGACAACCAAAUUGAGAGUACUAUAGAAACAUGUUUCUCGAGUUUAACGAACAUGGAUAAAUUUUUUAGCCGUACUCCUAAAGAAGAUUUGAAACCCAGGCGCUCGGAUUUCGCACUCCGACUCUCUUUCACUGAGCUACAGAGAAGCCUUUGAUAAACCAAGGUGUUAGGAGGCUUCUAUGACUCAUAUAAGACGAGCGUUCCGCGUAGUUCGAGGAUCAACAAUGUUGAAACCAACGUGCAUGUAAAUAGAAGAAGAACGAUUGUUACGUUUCAGCUUGGUUGUCGAAUUUGAGGAUGCUAGUUUUGGGACUAGGAUUGACUACCUGUUUCAUUUAAAAUCAAGAGCCAUGAUUCUGGAAAUUGAGAAUUAAUUUGUUUUGGUUUCCAUCCUGUCACUCAUAGCUAACGACCCACUAUUAGACGUUGUUGUUUAUCCAUUGCCGUCCCCAUCGUAUAAUGAGAUAAUUAUGAUCAGGGUCAACAGACAGGUUUGGUUUGAGGUCGAGCUAUCCUAGACCGCUGAAAAAAACAAUGUCGAAUGACAAGCGAAGGAGAUACAAUAUCUCACUUAAAUUGCAGUUCAGAGGAUGUGUAGUUGAUCAUAUAAUAGGAUAAGAUUUAAAGUAGUCAGAGAAAUGCUCUCUUAAUCUAGUUAAGCCAUUUAAGGCCCGUGUUCUGCUUCAGAAACACUGAGGGGUUAGUGAGUUAAAAAAAAACCAAACCGAGACUCGCAUGACGACGAGCUUUCUGUUUCAAAAUCUGGGACUCCAAGAUUUCGAUUUUUAACCGAUCAACACCUUUUUAUCGUUGCUUUACUUAGAGUUUUGCAACGCAGUACUGACGACAGGAAAAUAUCGCUAUAAGGUCUUUUGCGCUCGUUUUUUGUGGUAUGUCAGACUUUAUUUGCAAUAUUUCCAAACAACAACCACGAGCUAUACAAAUGCCACCUUUUGACCUUUACCCUCGAGUAUGUGAAACAAUUUUCAGGCUUUGAGAAUCUGGAAGGAAUGCGAGACUUUGAGAUCGAAAUGAGAGGUGACAAGAAUUCGAGAUCGGGAAAAGAGUUGGCAAGACCCGGCGUGAUCUUUAAGUUGCAGUUCGACUACGCCCUUUACAUGGCUUCAUGAUUCUGCCUGGAGGGUCAGUUCCAAUAACCGACAUAGGGACAGAUUCUGGCCAAACCGACCCUUGUCUUUGAGUUCGAUCCGUUUCUCAUCACGUUUUAGCGAGGAUAAAUGGAUAACGUAGAGGUUUGAGGGCCAAACAAUACAAACAACACGGCUUAGAAAACUCGAGAGAGAGAGAGUGCAAUUCAGUCAUACAAUCGUAAACAGAAGAAGUGGACUUUUUCCAUUCAUUUCCGCUAGUGAGAAGCAGGCUUUUAAUUUUCGUCAAACGUCAUAGAUAGAAGACACUCUUAAAAAUUAUAGUUUAGGGGAAUUUUUUUUCGUAAGUCAACAAACGCCAUGUGACGAAUCAGCCAAAGUUCUCUGAUGAGUCUCUUAGCCGGGAAGAAACUUUCGCCGCAAGGCAGGUUGGCAAAAUGUGCGCUGUUAACUUUUUUCCGUAACAAAAUUCUAACUCAACAACAACGACAUUUGUUGGUAAGUCGAUUAGCUGAUGCCUUGAAAACGAAGACAAUCAAAAAAAAUUCUGCCAAAAAAAUGAAACGAACGAAACUUGGUGGUAUACAAUCUGCAAAGUUAAUUACAUGAAACAAAUGCUCCUAUGAAAAAGUUGCAUUCUUCUCAGCAGUUGCCUCUUAUUUUCCUUUUAUACAACCGAUAAGAAUUUGGUUUUCUAUCCGGAAGAUUCAUUAAGGAUUCCCUCGAUGUAAUCCUUGCGGGUAAAAUUAAACUUCUCCCUAUUCACAAAUUUAUCAAAGUGGUAAUUCUCGAUUAUCGCAUGGAAGAACAAAAUUUCUUAAUUCCUUUCCUUUCGAUAGACUGAAAAACUUAAUAUCUCUCUCAAGUAUUUGGUAUUUAAAAAAAUGCAUUCUUUCUAACAUCUGGAAAAAGUAACUUUCCAUCUUAAAUAAUUAUUUUAUCGUUGGAUUUAUACAUACGGUUUCUUGCUGACGGCAAAUCGACAUUUACUGCUAUUUUUUGCACUAAGCCGACAAUACUCUCCUAAAAGCCGUUGUUUGCAAUCUUUAUUCCUUCACACUUUACAGAAAAUCUUUCCCUUACAUUUUAAUUUUCUCGUAUCAUACUUCGUCAACUAACAGGAAAGCUAGAUUUCGUGCUUUACAAAUGGGCAAAGUAUUCUUUCCUUAACGUAAUAUAGCGAAGUACUUCAGCGGAUAAAUCUUACUGCAGAAUAAAUUGUGAAAUGGAAAUCUUUGAUUGACGACCCAUUUAUUACGUGCAAGUUUGAUUGCGGAAAAUAAGUUACAUGAGGUGGAAAUCCUACUGCGUGGAUUUCUAAUUCUCCCAAUAUAGCAAACAACGAAACAUCGUAGCCUGUUUAAGGCUCCCCGAGGAAACUUUUCUGGCGUUAGCUUUUCUGUUGAUUUGUCUUUAAAAAUCAAUUUUAGUCACAAUUUUAUUGUAGAAUUAGACGAUGGGAAAAUGAAACAAGUCGAUUUGAUUGUGUUUUUUUUUUUCACGAACAAAAACAAUGGAACAAUAUUAGUCAGACAAACAUCACCUAUUGUAGUUGUACACGUUUCAAUAUUUCAGAAAUUCGUUCUAAAAACCCUGAACGAGGUGAAGUGAUGGAAGAGUAAAGACUACAUUGUAAUUUGCUACGCUUCCAUCGCGAAGAAUCUAGAGUAAAGGAGGCAUGUGUACAAUACAUGGGUGUUUGUAACUCGCAGAUCAAAGUGUCCUAUUUAGAUAAAUGGAUGGUUAGUGAGGCCUUUUGGUUGUUGAGCAAGACUUGGACAAUCUUUGCAAGUGAGCCGGCCCUUGGCAAUGAUGCCAUGAGUCGGUGCAGUUCUAGAUCACCAACCUCAUAACGUGCCAAGAACAAAAACGAUGCACAUGAAACGAAGGUGAGUCAAUUACUGAUAUUCUUCUUUUUUUUUUCAAAAUUUUGACGUCUUAAUGAUCUAUAAGCGAAGGAGCUCAUUGCAAAUUGCAACAGAUUCGAGUAAAAUAAUUAUUAGUUUACAAGAACUUGCCUCGCAGCGUAUUAGUGUUCUAGGAUUUGUCCUCGUAACACUUUCUUGACUUUUCUGACUCGUCUUAAAUAGCUUUUACGAGGCUUUCAGUUGCUCAAUUUAAAAUGUUCUCGCAAACGCUUUCACAGUUGUUCGCUGUAGUCAUGAUAGCGAACCAAACCAAAGAAGAAAUUUUGUUUAUAUGACCUUAGCGGCUCUUCCUUGACAGAUCAUAGCAACGUCCAAUCAUAGUGCGCAUAAGUCUUCAGUUCAUUGCUAAAUACUUUUGGUAAUCUGUGAGCCAUCAUUAUUUUUAGCGCUGCAGGAUGCACAUUUUUUUCGUCCUCGGAAUGAGUCGUGGAGACGUUUGCCGUGGGUCUCACAUUUGGGGCAAAAAACUCAAUAUAUUGGAAUGUGCCUUUUUUCGAAGAAUUCUUGUUGAAGCUGCAAUGCUUCAUACGCAAUUAGAUAUCUUGAGAGAACUAGACGCAAAAACUUUGGAAUGCACAGACUCAGACGUGGUAGAGGCGUAUCUUUCCACGCCGGAACUUGUACACCCAGAUCAAGAAUGGGUCUGUGAGAUCGAAGUUGAGGAGACCACAGGCAGC